UGUACCUUGUCGGUAUCUAUACACAGGGAGUGACGUCAUCAACAGCGAUGCACACCUUACCUUGGUCAGCGGGCAGAGCUGGUCUGUUGGGAAUCACAAUAGGCACCAUUUUGCAAUGCGUCAUGUUCAAAAGGCGACAAACCAGAGAUCUAGAAACAAGAGAAGAACAGCAUUCUCUGCUGAGUUCUUCUUCAAGUGAAACGUGUCCAGCAAGCGACAGACAACUGAAAUGUUUUCAAAACAGAACAACG